AAAUUACAACUCCACAGUUCUCAAUAAAACUAAUACUUUUAGGCCACAGAUGAUCUCCCACAAAUAUUGGUAAUAUUCUGACUGGAAAUUAAAGCUGUUCACGUGCGUUGAACGUGUUUCCGACGUUACCUGAAGGCAACAUCCACUGCAGGUGGAACUGAGUAGCUGACGUCACCGGCAGUAUAAAGAUCACCGCUGCGUCUCUGCACGCAAGUCGCUCAUCCAAUCCGUCCGUCCAGCUGCGCGUCCUCCCCGCCAAUAUGAGCAAGAUGUUUGUCGCGUGCCUCCUGCUGGCUCUCCAGCUCUUCUCAUCGCAGAUGGUGCAGGCACUUAACUCCACAGUGAGCCCCGCGGUAUCUACUCCCAGCGGCGCGAGCGCUGCGGCGGCAAGCGGCGCCUCCGCGCUGCUGCUGCUGCUGGCGGCCGCGGCCCCUCUGCUCCAGCGGUGGUCCUGAUGGACGGACGGACGGACGGACGGAGCACUCCUCGUUACCCUCCGGCUGCCUGAAUUUUCACAACAUGAACCUUUUUUUUUUUUUUUCCUUUUUCCAAGGAGCGCGCACUUGUUCUCGGUUUACGCCGCGGGACGCGCCCUGGCGCUUCCGCGGGUCGUACCCCGCCGGUCUGUGUUCAGUCCGAUGUAUUUGGGCUUGUGUGAUGAUCGUGGCACAAUACCCUUGUUCAUAAACCAAAUCUCAAGCUGAGGAAAGCUACAAUUCUUGUGUAAUCUGAUUUUCUAUUUUUUUUUUCUUUUUAAGAUCUCUGUUUGUAACCAAUAAAAUCUUUCAAUUAUAA